AUUGAACGCUGGCGGCAUGCUUUACACAUGCAAGUCGAACGGCAGCGCGGGCUUCGGCCUGGCGGCGAGUGGCGAACGGGUGAGUAAUGCAUCGGAACGUGCCCAGUAGUGGGGGAUAGCCCGGCGAAAGCCGGAUUAAUACCGCAUACGACCUGAGGGUGAAAGCGGGGGACCGAAAGGCCUCGCGCUAUUGGAGCGGCCGAUGUCGGAUUAGCUAGUUGGUGGGGAAAAGGCUUACCAAGGCGACGAUCCGUAGCUGGUCUGAGAGGACGACCAGCCAAACUGGGACUGAGACACGGCCCAGACUCCUACGGGAGGCAGCAGUGGGGAAUUUUGGACAAUGGGGGGAAACCUGAUCCCGCCAUGCCGCGGGCGGGAAGAAGGCCUUCGGGUUGUAAACCGCUUUUGUUCGGGAAGAAAUCCUCUGGGCUAAUACCCCGGGGGGAUGACGGUACCGGAAGAAUAAGCACCGGCUAACUACGUG
rnacentral:rRNA from 1 species